rnacentral:lncRNA from 1 species
GGUUUUUGGGGUGGGUGAUGAUGGGACGAUAGAUUUGUCAUCAGUGAAUUGAAGCGGGAGGAGAUAAUCAGGAUCGUCCCAGAUGCUGACCUCUUCAGGUAGGUCUUUAUCAAUCCAUGCAUGGUAUAGUUCCAUAUCACUCUCUACAUCACCCUCCAUGCCCAGAACUCCGUUUUUCUGCUUCAUUAACUCUAUUUUGGUGUUCAGUUCUUGCAGCAUAUUGUAGUUGAGCAUCUGAUAAUCUCUGUAGCUGUAAAUGGAGUAGAAGAUUUGAACCAAAGCCGCCAGCAGAAAGAAGGAUCUAGCGAGGAAGAUUUUGGAGUUGACC